UACGUAGGGUCCGAGCGUUGUCCGGAAUUAUUGGGCGUAAAGGGCUCGUAGGCGGUCUGUCGCGUCGGGAGUGAAAACUUACAGCUUAACUGUGAGCGUGCUUCCGAUACGGGCAGACUUGAGGUAUUCAGGGGAGAACGGAAUUCCUGGUGUAGCGGUGAAAUGCGCAGAUAUCAGGAGGAACACCGGUGGCGAAGGCGGUUCUCUGGGAAUAUCCUGACGCUGAGGAGCGAAAGUGUGGGGAGCGAGCAGG
rnacentral:rRNA from 1 species